rnacentral:rRNA from 1 species
GAUGAACGCUGGCGGCGUGCCUAGUACAUGCAAGUCGAGCGAACAGAUGAGGAGCUUGUUCCUCUGACGUUAGCGGCGGACGGGUGAGUAACGCGUGGAUAACCUACCUAUAAGACUGGGAUAACUUCGGGAAACCGGUGCUAAUACCGGAUAAUAUCUUGAACCACAUGGUUCAAGAGUGAAAGACGGUUUUGCUGUCACCUAUAGAGGGAUCCGCGUCGCAUUAGUUAGUGGGUAAGGUAACGGCUUACCAAGGCAACGAUGCGUAGCGGACCUGAGAGGGUGAUCGGCCACACUGGAACUGGGACACGGUCCAGACUCCUACGGGAGGCACCAGAGGGGAAUCUUGGGCAAUGGGCGAAAGCCUGACGGAGCAAGGCCGCGGGGGUGAUGAAGGUCUUCGGUUCGUAAACCUCUGUUAUUGGGGAAGAACAAAUGUGUAAGUAAAUAUGCACGUCUUGACGGUACCUAAUCAGAAAGCCACGGCUAACUACGUG